rnacentral:rRNA from 1 species
AUGAAAUUUAGCCGUAAGAUCUCCUUCCGCUUCGUUCCCAACUCAGUAGGAGAAAAAAUCCCCUCGCCCCCGUCAAUCGAUUCACCAUGCGCGCCCGCUGCAGCUCCGACCGUCCUCCUCUCCCGCCACCCUCCCUCACCGCAGGACGAACCUCGCGGCCCUCGCCGCCGGUCGGAGUUUUCCGUCCUUGCUCGCCCGUUGCAGCUUUCCGCUCCCCUUCCCUCCCACCAGUGCAGUGGUGGCCAUGGCCCACGCAAAAAAUCUUCGAUGAAAUUGUCGCAACUCCAUGUGGGCGGGUUGCAGCUCGAUAAAUUCAUGAGAAAACUGCCAGCGAAGGAUUGCGGCUCCACCACUCAUGGUUGCAACACCAAAGCGCGCAGGCAGUUCCUUCACCAGUUUUCAUGCGGCAUUGCAGCUUCGCCAAAACAAGAGGUUCUAGCAUCCUGCAUAGCCGAUUGUAGCAAACGGAAAAGCCACAUCCAGCAAAAAAACAAAAGCAACAAAAACCUCCAGUACUCAUUGAAGCAAAAAAAUUGCCGGUUCCAGCAAAAUCUAAAUAUGUUGGUAGCAAAUUUUGAGGCUGGUUCCAGCAAAAAUUAA